rnacentral:lncRNA from 1 species
AUGUGAAUAACCCGCCCUCCCCUCUUUGAAACAAGGGGCGCUUCUGGUUCUGUCGGUGCUUGAAACAAUUUUGUCUUCUCCAUAUUACUUAUUACUAUAUCUCUAGAGUCAAUAAUUUUAUAUGAGGAACUACUGAACUCAAUCACUUGCUGCUGUUACUCUUCAGUUUUUUGUUGAGGUCUAUCCUAUAGAAGUACUCAAAUUGGAUUAGUGAUCGAUUUCUAGGUUUCGCCGUAAACCUAAUUGGUUAAUAGAAUUAUUUUUACAAAAUAAUUUUAUAAUAAAAAAAAAGAAAGAUGUAGCAAUAAGGUAUAUAAAUACAAUAAGUAUACGAUUCAGUAUAAGUGUAAUAGUAAAAUAUCAACGGUUACCGGGGAA